GGCAAGGUGGCCGAGUGGUUAUGGCGUUAGUUUGUGAGUUAACACUGACAGCUUAUUACUGAGUAUAUUGAUUACUAACCCCCAUCACAGUAGGAACUUCCGAAACACUAAUGAGAGAUCGCGCGGGUUCGAAUCCCGUCCUUGUCA